rnacentral:rRNA from 1 species
UGGGGAAUAUUGCACAAUGGAGGGAACUCUGAUGCAGCGACGCCGCGUGAGUGAUGAAGGACUUCGUUUCGUAAAACUCUGUUCUAUGGGAAGAAAAGGACUGUACCAUAGGAGAAAGCUCCGGCCAAAUACGUGCCAGCAGCCGCGGUAAUACGUAUGGAGCGAGCGUUGUCCGGAACUAUUGGGCGUAAAGGGUGCGCAGGCGGCUUUACAAGUUGGAUGUGAAAUAUUGUGGCUCAACCACAAACGUGCAUCCAAAACUGCAAAGCUUGAGUUAAGGAGAGGUAAGUGGAAUUCCUGGUGUAGCGGUGGAAUGCGUAGAUAUCUGGAGGAAUACCGGUGGCGAAGGCGACUUACUGGACUAAAACUGACGCUCAGGCACGAAAGCGUGGGGAGCAAACAGG